AUACGAGGGGGGCUAGCGUUGUCCGGAUUUAUUGGGCGUAAAGAGUUCGUAGGCGGGUCAGUCAGUCGAAAUUGAAAUCCCACGGCUUAACCGUGGACCCGGUUUUGAUACUGCUGAUCUUGAGUGAGACAGAGGUAAGCGGAAUUCCUGGUGUAGCGGUGAAAUGCGUAGAUAUCAGGAGGAACACCGAAGGCGAAGGCAGCUUACUGGGUCUAUACUGACGCUGAGGAACGAAAGCGUGGGGAGCAAACAGGAUUAGAAACCCCAGUAGUCC
rnacentral:rRNA from 1 species